CUCAUUAAAUCAGUUAUAGUUUAUUUGAUGGUCUCUUUUGUCUUUUUUUUCCUACUUGGAUAACCGUGGUAAUUCUAGAGCUAAUACAUGCGCAAGGUCCCAAGCGCGGGGCGGCUCCUCGCGGGCCGCUCGCAUGUGCAGCGGGAUGUAUUUAUUAGGUUAAAACCAGCACUCAAAACCUCACCGGUGAUUCAUAGUAACUCUGUUCGGAUCGCAUUCAUG
rnacentral:rRNA from 1 species